UACGGAGGGUGCAAGCGUUAUCCGGAAUCACUGGGUUUAAAGGGUGCGUAGGCGGUCAGAUAAGUCAGUCGUGAAAUUCCUCGGCUUAACCGGGUGGACUGCGAUUGAUACUGUUUGACUUGAAUGAGGUUGAGGUAGGCGGAAUGUGGCAUGUAGCGGUGAAAUGCUUAGAUAUGCCAUAGAACACCGAUUGCGAAGGCAGCUUGCUGGGCCUUCAUUGACGCUGAGGCACGAAAGCGUGGGGAGCAAACAGG
rnacentral:rRNA from 1 species